ACACAUGCAAGUCGAGGGGCAGCAUGAACUUAGCUUGCUUCAAUUGCCGGCGACCGGCGCACGGGUGAGUAACGCGUAUCCAACCUUCCGUACACUCAGGGAUAGCCUUUCGAAAGAAAGAUUAAUACCUGAUGGUAUGAUGAGAUUGCAUGAUAGCAUCAUUAAAGAUUCAUCGGUGUACGAUGGGGAUGCGUUCCAUUAGGUAGUAGGCGGGGUAACGGCCCACCUAGCCUACGAUGGAUAGGGGUUCUGAGAGGAAGGUCCCCCACAUUGGAACUGAGACACGGUCCAAACUCCUACGGGAGGCAGCAGUGAGGAAUAUUGGUCAAUGGACGAGAGUCUGAACCAGCCAAGUAGCGUGAAGGAUGAAGGUCCUACGGAUUGUAAACUUCUUUUAUAAGGGAAUAAAACCUCCCACGUGUGGGAGCUUGUAUGUACCUUAUGAAUAAGCAUCGGCUAACUCCGUGCCAGCAGCCGCGGUAAUACGGAGGAUGCGAGCGUUAUCCGGAUUUAUUGGGUUUAAAGGGAGCGCAGACGGGUCGUUAAGUCAGCUGUGAAAGUUUGGGGCUCAACCUUAAAAUUGCAGUUGAUACUGGCGUCCUUGAGUGCGGUUGAGGUGUGCGGAAUUCGUGGUGUAGCGGUGAAAUGCUUAGAUAUCACGAAGAACUCCGAUUGCGAAGGCAGCACACUAAGCCGUAACUGACGUUCAUGCUCGAAAGUGUGGGUAUCAAACAGGAUU
rnacentral:rRNA from 1 species